rnacentral:rRNA from 1 species
UACGAGAGGCCCAAACGUUAUUCGGAAUUACUGGGCUUAAAGAGUUCGUAGGCGGUAUGACAAGUAGGGUGUGAAAGCCCUCGGCUCAACCGAGGAAUUGCGCUCUAAACUGCCGUACUAGAGGAAUCUAGAGGUGAGCGGAACUGAUGGUGGAGCGGUGAAAUGCGUUGAUAUCAUCAGGAACACCGGAGGCGAAGGCGGCUCACUGGGGAUUUUCUGACGCUGAGGAACGAAAGCCAGGGGAGCGAACGGG